CUUUACUGCAACUUGACAGUGAAGCUCGGGACAGUCUGCGUAGGAUAGGUGGGAGGCUGUGAAGCCGGGAUUCUGGUCUCGGUAGAGCCAUCCUUGAAAUACCACCCUGAUUGUUCUGGGCUUCUAACCCAGGCGUGUAAGCCACGCCGGGGACACUGUCUGGUGGGCAGUUUGACUGGGGCGGUCGCCUCCCAAAAAGUAACGGAGGCGCGCGAAGGUUCCCUCAGGCUGAUUGGAAACCAGCCGUAGAGUGUAAAGGCACAAGGGAGCUUGACUGUGAGACCGACAGGUCGAGCAGGUGCGAAAGCAGGUCUUAGUGAUCCGGCAGUUCUGUAUGGAAGGGCUGUCGCUCAUCGGACAAAAGGUA
rnacentral:rRNA from 1 species